UUAAGAGAAACAUAACUUGUUGUCUUGUCAACAAAAUCUCAGAGCUGAAGCCUCACUACAGCUACGUCCCUCACCACUCAGUUGUGUUCCUUGGUCAGAUGGUGUUUGUUCUCUAAAUCAACCAUUGGAUUUAUUUAUAGAAUUCAUUACAAACUGAUUUUUUUUUUUACUAAUUAGUUGACUACUAAUGCAAUUAUAGCCCAUAGUUUUGGGGGGUAAAGGAGAAAGUGGUUUUUGGAGACUAUGCAUUAUAGAUUUUUAUUUGAAAACAUUUUGAAAACCAUGUUUCAUUAUGCUCCCACUUCCAAUUUAUGCAUUGUUUUAGAUUGUCAAUCACAACAAUCCAACAAAAGAAAUGGGAGAGUGUGGUUGUUAUGCAACACCUUGUGAAAAACCUCAAGGUGUAUAAAAACUUUCAUGAGGUAUUGUACAUAUCACAAAUAAUCCUAUGGAGCUCAUGUCAGGUAUGAGAAAAUCAAAGGGAAGGGUUGAGAGACUUUAAUGAGGAUAAAGCCUAGCUCAUCAACUGCUUGGUUUUACUUUAUUAUUAUUUUUUUUUUGUUUGUUUGGUUGUUCUUUUAUUUCAGAGCAAAUAUAUAACAUCCUCUACUCAACUCAAUCUUUAAACAUGUAAAGUGAAAUAGUAAAGUCAUUGUUAUAAGAUCUAUUUUUGACUGGGUAAUGCAUUUGAGAAAACCUUUUUUUGUAUUUAUAGAAAAAUAGGUAAUUACAUAUGCUUGUGUUCCAGAGUUUACAGUUUACCAGCAGAAUGAGCAUUCAUGUUUGGGCUGUAAAAAAGUUUUUUUUUUCUUUUUCUUUUAAGAAGGGUGCAUUCAGAUCUCUUUUAAAUGAUCCUUCAUAUUGUAAAACAAAGAAAGUAGUGUAAAGAUAUUAAAAUAUGUGCAAAUAUUUUUUAUCUAUACAAAUUGUACAGCUGUGAACUGUUGGCUAUAUUUGGCACAUUUCUGAAUUUUAAAAGAACAGUACAGUUAUAUACUAGUUUUUAUGUUUUAAGGGUUCUUUUGUCUUUUUCUGGUUUUGUAAAAGCAGUGUCUACUAUGCAAACAUUGUUCAACCUGAUAGAAGUCUAUUACUAGAAUGGUCCUUGUAAUUUAGUAUUAUAUUUUAUUAUCAUGAGUGAUUUGAUUUUGAUCAGUGUCAAAUUUUGAU